rnacentral:rRNA from 1 species
UACGGGGGGAGCAAGCGUUGUUCGGAUUUACUGGGCGUAAAGGGCGCGUAGGCGGCGUGACAAGUCACUUGUGAAAUCUCCGGGCUUAACCCGGAGCGGCCAAGUGAUACUGUCGUGCUAGAGUGCGGAAGGGGCUACUGGAAUUCUCGGUGUAGCGGUGAAAUGCGUAGAUAUCGAGAGGAACACCUGCGGCGAAGGCGGGUAGCUGGGCCGACACUGACGCUGAUGCGCGAAAGUCAGGGGAGCGAACGGG